AUCUUUCUAGUAUUAGCGCUAGUAUAAGUGACUUCCAAUCAUUAGGUCUUGGUUAAACCCCAAGGAAAGAUA
rnacentral:tRNA from 1 species